rnacentral:rRNA from 1 species
AGUGAACGCUGGCGGUACGCCUAACACAUGCAAGUCGAACGGCAGCACAGUAAGAGCUUGCUCUUACGGGUGGCGAGUGGCGGACGGGUGAGGAAUACAUCGGAAUCUACUUUUUCGUGGGGGAUAACGUAGGGAAACUUACGCUAAUACCGCAUACGACCUACGGGUGAAAGCAGGGGAUCUUCGGACCUUGCGCGAUUGAAUGAGCCGAUGUCGGAUUAGCUAGUUGGCGGGGUAAAGGCCCACCAAGGCGACGAUCCGUAGCUGGUCUGAGAGGAUGAUCAGCCACACUGGAACUGAGACACGGUCCAGACUCCUACGGGAGGCAGCAGUGGGGAAUAUUGGACAAUGGGCGCAAGCCUGAUCCAGCCAUACCGCGUGGGUGAAGAAGGCCUUCGGGUUGUAAAGCCCUUUUGUUGGGAAAGAAAGGCAGCAGGUUAAUACCCCGCUGUUCUGACGGUACCCAAAGAAUAAGCACCGGCUAACUUCGUG